ACGGAAGGCAGCAGUGGGGAAUAUUGCACAAUGGGGGAAACCCUGAUGCAGCGACGCCGCGUGAGUGAAGAAGUAUUUCGGUAUGUAAAGCUCUAUCAGCAAGGAAGAUAAUGACGGUACUUGACUAAGAAGCCCCGGCUAACUACGUGCCAGCAGCCGCGGUAGUACGUAGGGGGCAAGCGUUAUCCGGAUUUACUGGGUGUAAAGGGAGCGUAGACGGUUUGGCAAGUCUGAAGUGAAAGCCCGGGGCUCAACCCCGGUAUUGCUUUGGAAACUGUUGAACUAGAGUGCAGGAGGGGUAAGCGGAAUUCCUAGUGUAGCGGUGAAAUGCGUAGAUAUUAGGAGGAACACCGGUGGCGAAGGCGGCUUACUGGACUGUAACUGACGUUGAGGCUCGAAAGCGUGGGGAGCAAACAGGAUUAGAUACCCUGGUA
rnacentral:rRNA from 1 species